UACGUAGGGUCCGAGCGUUGUCCGGAAUUACUGGGCGUAAAGAGCUCGUAGGUGGUUUGUCGCGUUGUUCGUGAAAACUCACAGCUCAACUGUGGGCGUGCGGGCGAUACGGGCAGACUAGAGUACUGCAGGGGAGACUGGAAUUCCUGGUGUAGCGGUGGAAUGCGCAGAUAUCAGGAGGAACACCGGUGGCGAAGGCGGGGUCUCUGGGCAGUAACUGACGC
rnacentral:rRNA from 1 species